AAGAAGGAAAGGAAAUGUCAGCUGUAGCCACAGAAAAGCAAAAGCAUUUGUUCCAGGAAUACCUUCAUAAAGACCACAUUAACAAAUGAUGGAUGUUCCAGGAGAGAAAAGUUCACAGUGUCCUGGAACUAUUUAUAUACUUUGAUACAAAAUAAAAUCUGGUGAGGCCCUGGAACAGGUUGCCCAGAGAAGCUGUGGGUGCCCCAACCCUGGAAGUGUUCAAGGCCAGGCUGGAUGGAACUUUGAGCAGAAACUCUGUGGAAAAGGAGCAAAGACAAUUCAGAUGGCUGUGAAAGUGAAGACUAUGUGGGAAAUCAUGCAAGAGAUACAUUGCCUGCAGAAUGGGGAAAAACAUUAAAUCUUGGAGUUGCUGAUGCAGCAAUUAAUAUUGCAACCUUCACUGCCUUCAACGCACGGAAGAAAAGGACACAGACUCAUCUUCCAACCAGUCAGAAACUUUAACACCUACUCUUCAUUAUCCAGUAUUUAUACCGCCAGAUUGGACUUUCAUAUGGAAGCCUGGAGCAAUGCUGGUACAGAUGGCAAGAUGACUCUCAAGAGAUUGAUGACUCUGAAGAAAUACACAGUAUUAAGUCAGAAGGUGCAAAUGUUAACAUUCCAGUGUAGAAAAGAAAUAUUCCUUGCAUACGCUUCCCAGGUUUGUUUUCUCAUGCAUUACAAAGAGAAAGAAAAAGCCCUCGACACACCUCGUAGCUGGCAAACGAAUGAUAAAUUUACUUUAGUUUCUUUUGUAUGUCAACUGUUCAUGCCUCAGGUACUUAACCUUUACUUUAAAAACAUGGUUCAGAUCCUAGCCUUGAAGGUGGGUGGGAAGGGGGGGAUGGUAUUCCUGUAAAUGUUUCAUUUAACAAAGGCAGUACUAUAAGAAGGUUCAGUGGUGAGACUCUGAAUGGUAUUUAUUGUUUCAGAUUUCAGGGCUCCCAUACAUCUGCUGCCUGUCAAAGGCAGAUACCACAUUCAUAAAACAAGUGCCCUGUCUGAAGAAAAAAAAAAGAAAAAAAAAAAAGGACUCUCUUCUCUGUACCUCAGCCUCCAGGAUUAUGUGAGAUGGGAGGUUGCAAGAAGUAGAAGUUCUAAUUUGCCCUAAAGAUGAUCAACAAAAAAAUCUCCUUUUAUUAAAAAAAGAAAGUAAAUUUUACUUUUUUUUUAUAAAAAUGUUUGUGGGCCCAGAUGCAGCAAAGCAUUUUAAGAACAACCCCUAUUCAGAAAAACUCUUAAACAUGUUCUUAUGUGUUUCCAUGCUCAGCAGAGUGCCUAAGAACUUCCUUAGCUGAAGCAGAGACCUAAAGAAGAACCAUUUCUAUUUACACUAACUAAGCAGCUCAUUUUACCAGGCCCAUUACAUGAUUCCUGACUUUAUUAGGUCUGGAAUGUAUAUUUCACCCAUGGUGAGAAACAUGCUCAUUCAUUUCUUAUGAUAUCAUAGUCUUCUCCAUGGUAAUCUGGUGCUAUGUGAGGAAAAACAAUAGAAGAGAAAACUUUUCAUGCCGAGAUGAAGACGGAUAAGGAAUUAUGUUCAGCCGGGUGGGAGAAUAUAUAAGAGGAACAAAACCACAGAGCCUCUGAUUCUGAGGAUCUGAUUUAUUUAGUAUCUGGCAUUGGCCAUAAAGUGUGGGCAAUGAAAAGAGGAGCUGACCUCAAUGCCUCCUUAGCAGCAAUCAGAAAUUCAUUUCAGUGUGUGAGCAUUUAAUUAGCUUCACUGAGUUUACAAGACCUUCAGUCAUUUUAAGAUACUCGAGGCAACUAUGCCACACAUAAGAUUACCCUGAAUCUGGAAUGCCAGCCACUUAGGAGGAAUGUCUGGAGAGUUUUAAUUGAAGGGGACUCCUUUGUUUUUAUAUCCAUUUGAUGUGCCAUUACCAUUUCCUCCACCACUAAUUUACACCGAGGGACUCAACUACUCCAAACAAUUGUUUUAAUCAGUAAAUCACAGAAAACCUUCAAGAAAGUUUAAGGUUGUUCUGUGUCUAUGAAAAGUCAAAUGGCACCAUUAAAUUUUUAAAGCUAAUCUAAUCGUUACACAGUGCAGCCACUGCACCACUUCAGGCAUCUGGGGAGAGUCAUCACCUUCCCCUUUUUUACAGAAGACCUGAAAUAUAUCUGCUGCAUGCAUUUAUUGCAUGCAUACAAUAAAUAUAUAUGGAAUGGGAUUAACUAACA
ensembl:lncRNA